UAUAGAUGAAAGAGCUAAUCGGGGCAGCCAUUUUGAUGCACGGCCGCAUUCUUUUUCCGAAGCGUUUGAAUGAUGAUAGAAGCAUUUUCUCAUGAUUUUCACUUGUCUACAAUUCUAGGCAGUGACAAUUCGGCCUCCAUAUUUGGGGUUGGUUCAAGCCGUGGGCAUCGUCGAAAGCUUUGAGAAGCCGUUUCCAGCCAACAUAUACGCUUUCCACCGUCAAGGCGAGGAGAUCCGUUGGUGGAAACAAGUGAGUGAUGGCUGUUUCUUUGCUGAACCGGAAUUCCAGAUCGCCAUUGUCAGAGACAACUUGCUCGAAGGACUGCUCGCCCCUUGCCCUCUCAAAACACUCACGGUAGUC
rnacentral:lncRNA from 1 species